UAAGCGACUAAGCGUACACGGUGGAUGCCUUGGCAGUCAGAGGCGAUGAAGGACGUGCUAAUCUGCGAUAAGCGUCGGUAAGGUGAUAUGAACCGUUAUAACCGGCGAUUUCCGAAUGGGGAAACCCAGUGUGAUUCGUCACACUAUCAUUAACUGAAUCCAUAGGUUAAUGAGGCGAACCGGGGGAACUGAAACAUCUAAGUACCCCGAGGAAAAGAAAUCAACCGAGAUUCCCCCAGUAGCGGCGAGCGAACGGGGAGCAGCCCAGAGCCUGAAUCAGUGUGUGUGUUAGUGGAAGCGUCUGGAAAGGCGUGCGAUACAGGGUGACAGCCCCGUACACAAAAAUGCACAUACUGUGAGCUCGAUGAGUAGGGCGGGACACGUGGUAUCCUGUCUGAAUAUGGGGGGACCAUCCUCCAAGGCUAAAUACUCCUGACUGACCGAUAGUGAACCAGUACCGUGAGGGAAAGGCGAAAAGAACCCCGGCGAGGGGAGUGAAAAAGAACCUGAAACCGUGUACGUACAAGCAGUGGGAGCACGCUUAGGCGUGUGACUGCGUACCUUUUGUAUAAUAGGUCAGCGACUUAUAUUCUGUAGCAAGGUUAACCGAAUAGGGGAGCCGAAAGGAAACCGAGUCUUAACUGGGCGUUAAGUUGCAGGGUAUAGACCCGAAACCCGGUGAUCUAGCCAUGGGCAGGUUGAAGGUUGGGUAACACUAACUGGAGGACCGAACCGACUAAUGUUGAAAAAUUAGCGGAUGACUUGUGGCUGGGGGUGAAAGGCCAAUCAAACCGGGAGAUAGCUGGUUCUCCCCGAAAGCUAUUUAGGUAGCGCCUCGUGAAUUCAUCUCCGGGGGUAGAGCACUGUUUCGGCAAGGGGGUCAUCCCGACUUACCAACCCGAUGCAAACUGCGAAUACCGGAGAAUGUUAUCACGGGAGACACACGGCGGGUGCUAACGUCCGUCGUGAAGAGGGAAACAACCCAGACCGCCAGCUAAGGUCCCAAAGUCAUGGUUAAGUGGGAAACGAUGUGGGAAGGCCCAGACAGCCAGGAUGUUGGCUUAGAAGCAGCCAUCAUUUAAAGAAAGCGUAAUAGCUCACUGGUCGAGUCGGCCUGCGCGGAAGAUGUAACGGGGCUAAACCAUGCACCGAAGCUGCGGCAGCGACGCUUAUGCGUUGUUGGGUAGGGGAGCGUUCUGUAAGCCUGUGAAGGUGUACUGUGAGGUAUGCUGGAGGUAUCAGAAGUGCGAAUGCUGACAUAAGUAACGAUAAAGCGGGUGAAAAGCCCGCUCGCCGGAAGACCAAGGGUUCCUGUCCAACGUUAAUCGGGGCAGGGUGAGUCGACCCCUAAGGCGAGGCCGAAAGGCGUAGUCGAUGGGAAACAGGUUAAUAUUCCUGUACUUGGUGUUACUGCGAAGGGGGGACGGAGAAGGCUAUGUUGGCCGGGCGACGGUUGUCCCGGUUUAAGCGUGUAGGCUGGUUUUCCAGGCAAAUCCGGAAAAUCAAGGCCGAGGCGUGAUGACGAGGCACUACGGUGCUGAAGCAACAAAUGCCCUGCUUCCAGGAAAAGCCUCUAAGCAUCAGGUAACAUCAAAUCGUACCCCAAACCGACACAGGUGGUCAGGUAGAGAAUACCAAGGCGCUUGAGAGAACUCGGGUGAAGGAACUAGGCAAAAUGGUGCCGUAACUUCGGGAGAAGGCACGCUGAUACGUAGGUGAAGCGACUUGCUCGUGGAGCUGAAAUCAGUCGAAGAUACCAGCUGGCUGCAACUGUUUAUUAAAAACACAGCACUGUGCAAACACGAAAGUGGACGUAUACGGUGUGACGCCUGCCCGGUGCCGGAAGGUUAAUUGAUGGGGUUAGCGCAAGCGAAGCUCUUGAUCGAAGCCCCGGUAAACGGCGGCCGUAACUAUAACGGUCCUAAGGUAGCGAAAUUCCUUGUCGGGUAAGUUCCGACCUGCACGAAUGGCGUAAUGAUGGCCAGGCUGUCUCCACCCGAGACUCAGUGAAAUUGAACUCGCUGUGAAGAUGCAGUGUACCCGCGGCAAGACGGAAAGACCCCGUGAACCUUUACUAUAGCUUGACACUGAACAUUGAGCCUUGAUGUGUAGGAUAGGUGGGAGGCUUUGAAGUGUGGACGCCAGUCUGCAUGGAGCCGACCUUGAAAUACCACCCUUUAAUGUUUGAUGUUCUAACGUGGACCCGUAAUCCGGGUUGCGGACAGUGUCUGGUGGGUAGUUUGACUGGGGCGGUCUCCUCCUAAAGAGUAACGGAGGAGCACGAAGGUUGGCUAAUCCUGGUCGGACAUCAGGAGGUUAGUGCAAUGGCAUAAGCCAGCUUGACUGCGAGCGUGACGGCGCGAGCAGGUGCGAAAGCAGGUCAUAGUGAUCCGGUGGUUCUGAAUGGAAGGGCCAUCGCUCAACGGAUAAAAGGUACUCCGGGGAUAACAGGCUGAUACCGCCCAAGAGUUCAUAUCGACGGCGGUGUUUGGCACCUCGAUGUCGGCUCAUCACAUCCUGGGGCUGAAGUAGGUCCCAAGGGUAUGGCUGUUCGCCAUUUAAAGUGGUACGCGAGCUGGGUUUAGAACGUCGUGAGACAGUUCGGUCCCUAUCUGCCGUGGGCGCUGGAGAACUGAGGGGGCUGCUCCUAGUACGAGAGGACCGGAGGGACGCAUCACUGGUGUUCGGGUUGUCAUGCCAAUGGCACUGCCCGGUAGCUAAAUGCGGAAGAGAUAAGUGCUGAAAGCAUCUAAGCACGAAACUUGCCCCGAGAUGAGUUCUCCCUGACCCUUUAAGGGUCCUGAAGGAACGUUGAAGACGACGACGUUGAUAGGCCGGGUGUGUAAGCGCAGCGAUGCGUUGAGCUAACCGGUACUAAUGAACCGUGAGGCUUAACCU
rnacentral:rRNA from 1 species